rnacentral:rRNA from 1 species
GAGGAAUAUUGGGCAAUGCCCGCAAGGGUGACCCAGCAACGCCGCGUGGAGGAUGAAUGUCGUAAGAUUGUAAACUCCUGUUAGAGGGGAAGAAUAGUACCGGUUGGACCGGUAUAUGACUGUACCCUCAGAGAAAGCCCCGGCUAACUACGUGCCAGCAGCCGCGGUAAUACGUAGGGGGCAAGCGUUGUCCGGAUUUACUGGGUGUAAAGGGCGCGCAGGCGGGAUAAAAAGUCAGUGGUGAAAUCCUGCAGCUUAACUGUAGAACUGCCUUUGAUACUUUUAUUCUUGAGUUCGGGAGAGAGAGACGGAAUUCCAGGUGUAGUGGUGAAAUACGUAGAUAUCUGGAAGAACACCAGUUGCGAAGGCGGUCUCUUGGUCCGACACUGACGCUGAGGCGCGAAAGCGUGGGGAGCAAACA